rnacentral:misc_RNA from 1 species
ACUUCUCAACCUUUUAGCUGCUUUGUUGCGGUUAAUGGGUUGGAUGUGAGGGUUUGCUGGCUUCCUUCAGUGGAUGGUCUGCUCCCUUUAAAUGCAUUAGUGGGAUCCUUUGUGGAUCGCUAUGCACUUUAGUGUGAUAGUUUAUCUACGCUAUUGUGCUGGUCUACAAAACCUGUGGGAACCUGCUUAUAACUGUCCUUCAUUGUGACAAACUGUGCGCACUUGUGUGUACAAAUUUGAC